GAUGAACGCUGGCGGCGUGCCUAAUACAUGCAAGUCGAGCGAACAGACGAGGAGCUUGCUCCUCUGACGUUAGCGGCGGACGGGUGAGUAACACGUGGAUAACCUACCUAUCAGACUGGGAUAACUUCGGGAAACCGGAGCUAAUACCGGAUAAUAUAUUGAACCGCAUGGUUCAAUAGUGAAAGACGGUUUUGCUGUCACUUAUAGAUGGAUCCGCGCCGCAUUAGCUAGUUGGUAAGGUAACGGCUUACCAAGGCAACGAUGCGUAGCCGACCUGAGAGGGUGAUCGGCCACACUGGAACUGAGACACGGUCCAGACUCCUACGGGAGGCAGCAGUAGGGAAUCUUCCGCAAUGGGCGAAAGCCUGACGGAGCAACGCCGCGUGAGUGAUGAAGGGCUUCGGAUCGUAAAACUCUGUUAUUAGGGAAGAACAAAUGUGUAAGUAACUAUGCACGUCUUGACGGUACCUAAUCAGAAAGCCACGGCUAACUACGUG
rnacentral:rRNA from 1 species